GGUGAAUCUUUCGGAAAUACUCAUGGUUUGAUGAUUUCCUUGUCGGGGCGGAAGCUUGAGAUUAGAGGAACGCUUGUGGAAACUAUCAGCGUUGGAAGCUCAAGAGAUAAGCCAUAUUAGGUGUUUAUUCGAAGAAAACGCAAGGAAGAAGAAGGAGCGCGUGCACUACACGCAAGGUGUGUGAGGAGCCGCGACUGGGCGUGGACUCGGAGUUCUCCUGGCGCGUGGGACAAACACACCGAUAAUGUGAGGGCGCGUAAGACCUCAUUUCGGCUUCUGGUCUAAUUUGAAGGAAUUGUGUUGAAAUACCCUAUUAAACGUACGUCCAAGGGAAAAGGAGUUCGAAACCAGAUUUAGUUGAUGCAGGCCAACCAAGGACGAGACCAAUGGGCUAGAGACUUCAGGGAAUCCAUGUCUGUGUCUGUUUUGUGUACUUAUGCUUUCGCUGUCAA